UGGGGAAUAUUGGACAAUGGGCGCAAGCCUGAUCCAGCCAUGCCGCGUGAGUGAUGAAGGCCCUAGGGUUGUAAAGCUCUUUUGUGCGGGAAGAUAAUGACGGUACCGCAAGAAUAAGCCCCGGCUAACUUCGUGCCAGCAGCCGCGGUAAUACGAAGGGGGCUAGCGUUGCUCGGAAUCACUGGGCGUAAAGGGUGCGUAGGCGGGUCUUUAAGUCAGGGGUGAAAUCCUGGAGCUCAACUCCAGAACUGCCUUUGAUACUGAAGAUCUUGAGUUCGGGAGAGGUGAGUGGAACUGCGAGUGUAGAGGUGAAAUUCGUAGAUAUUCGCAAGAACACCAGUGGCGAAGGCGGCAUCCUGGACCACACUGACGCUGAGGCGAAAGCAGGGGAGCAAACGGGAUUAGAUACCCGUAGUCC
rnacentral:rRNA from 1 species